UCGCGGUAUUGGAUUUUAAUCACGGAAUUGUAGGACAUGACAUUGUGUGGAAUCGACCUCGGAAGGUGCGCGACAAGCAAGCGCGCUAUCUACUGUGCUACCCAAACAAUGCGACAACCAGGUACCAAUCGGGUUACAAUCGUCUCUACAGAUUGUCGCCCCUUGCCAUGCCAGGAUUCAAAAGUCAAAAGGAGUGUCAAGCCAUGUGUUGUAAAGUCUUACCAUAUGCCCUCCUGCUUUGUUUUUCAUUAACGUAAUCUUUGACAUGUUCUCACCUUUAUCUGACGUCACAAACAGCGCCAUCUAGGGAGAGCACGUGACAGACACGUGUGCG